GAGGCUUGGGUGACUGGCUGAAAGAACAGCAGUACCAUAGACAGCUCACUGCAGACAAGACUGAAGCCCAGGGAUGGCUGCUGAAGAUUUGGUGCCUGGCUGGUGGGAAGAGCAGUAAGACCAGUGGAAGAUCUUCUUUCUCUGAAGAGAGCAAUCAGGCUCCAUGCUCCCAGUUGAUAACCCCCAAAGGGACACUGCUCAGCCCUAGUAUUUGGGGAACAAAACUAAAGAGAAUACUGAGGAAAAACAAAUUAGUCAUGUUGGAGAGAAGAAAACACCCAGUUGGAGGGUUUUUUAAUUCAUUCAAAUGGUGUCUCCACCGUAUACAUACACGACAUAGGAUAUACAGUAUACUUCCCAGUGGGCAGAGGAAGCUCAUCCUACACAUCUGAGGCCCACAGCAGAUUGAAUGCUGGGUUGUCUAGCUGGGUUCCAACGGACAGACUCCAGGCACUGCUCCGCCUUGAGGAACGGACACCAACAGGACUGAGGGAGAUGCUGCUGAAGGCCCUCGUCUCAGAGUGGCUAUUGUAGCCAAUCACAACACAAAUGCUGAUGCCGUUCCCAUUCGUCUCGCUCCAGGACCCCGCCAUGGCACCGCUUCCACAGACCAGGGUAUCGAUCACUGGUGCCUUGCCAUCGCAGAUCUGCCCGCCGGAGCCGAUCAUGGAGUAGCUGCUACCAGCAGUGCCAUUCCUCCACAGUGGGAUCCCAAUCUCGUGGUUGGCACCGCUCCUGGCGCUGCCACUCCUCCAGGUCCAGGGACAGUGAGACAGGUCAUACAUCAGCCCGGCCUCCCUUCAUAGUUGUCCAUCGAUGGGUCAGGCUGAACAGCCUGCUCGGCUGGUGCCACAGCAGGUGAAGUGGCACAUGGCCCCAUGGCUGGCACAGUGGUACCAGUGGGCACCGUGGCCCCAACACAGCUCCUGGUGGGGGCUCGCUCGGUGGCUGGAGCCUCAGAAUGGCUGUUAGCCUCCCUCUCCUGGCCUCCGAGGAAGGAGUUGGUGGGACGUGCAUCUUCGACGCCAUGCCCAUAGAACGACCAGGUGGUGGAUCCUCUGGUACUGGUAGACAUACAAAGUACCGCGCCCGCCUCCUGGCCCUCUCCUGAUGAGGCAAUUACGGCCCCUCCGUCCCACAGGAGGACUCUAAAGCCCACCAGGAACUAUUGAAAAGGGUGGCAUCAAAUCUCUUCCUUUAGGCGGAGAAGGUGGAGGAGCCCUCGGACUCCCUUUUUAACAUCCUGUCUGCAUCGGUACUGGGCAGGAUGGCCUUGCCACUCCACGAAGGGGUGGUGAAAAUUUCAAAUGCCUUGUGGCAAACUCCAGCCUCAUUUGCCCCCGCCAUCUCUAAGAGCAGAACACAAGUAUUUUGUGCCCAUCAAGAGGCAUGAAUACUUAUACACCCAUCUUGCCCUAACUCCCUGGUGGUUGAGUCAGUCAACCACAGGGAAUGGCAGGGCCAACCAGCCCCUGCUCCGAAAAAUAAAGAUUUAAGGAGGCUGAUUCAUUUGGCAGAAAAAUUUAUUCGUCCUCAAGCUUCCAGUUUCGGAUGGUGAACCAUCAGGCUCUCCUGGGCUGAUAUGAGUUCAAUCUAUAGGGCUCUCUGCCCAAGUUUGAGGACUCCCUCCAGGAGUGUGACAGGAACGAAUUCAAAGCUCUGGUGGAGGAGGGUACAGUGGCUGCCAGGGCAACCCUGCAGGCAGCUUUGGAUGUGGCGGCCAUGGCCACGCAGUCCAUGGCCUCCACGGUGUCCAUGAGAAGAGCGUAGUGGCUCCUGCUGUCUGGGCUGUCCAGUGAGCCACAGACAGGGCCAG